UUUUCUCUUGAUUAAUAUACUAGGAUCUUUCUUAUCUUCUUAUAUCCGAUCUGGGGUUGUUCUGUAAUAUUGAAAAAAAAAACAUGAUAUUUGAGGUUUUCUUGGCUGGUUUUAUUUCAAUUAUGGCUUGGUUGCUUGGUGGCGAUUUCUCGGGCCCACUUCUUCUUGGAUGUUGUUUUGAAUUCUUGAAUUAUUAGACUUUCUGUAUUGCAGGAGGUAAAACUGCAGAUUGCUCAAUGGAAAAUAAAUAACUAUGAUUAUUAUAAUUAUUUUAGUGACUUCGAAACCUCGGGUAUUUCUGUAUGUAAAAACGCCGAAAACUGAAUUAUCUUGUUUGAAUAACAAGACUUGUUGAUCGAGGAUUAA